UCCUGGCUCAGGAUGAACGCUGGCGGCGUGCCUAACACAUGCAAGUCGAACGGAGUUAAUAAAGUAGAUUACUACAUUAUUAACUUAGUGGCGGACGGGUGAGUAACGCGUGGAUAACCUACCUUACACAGGGGGAUAACACCGAGAAAUCGGUGCUAAUACCGCAUAAGUAAUUAUGUCGCAUGGCAUAGUUAUAAAAGCUGAGGCGGUGUAAGAUGGGUCCGCGUCUGAUUAGCUAGUUGGUGAGAUAAAAGCUCACCAAGGCAACGAUCAGUAGCCGGCUUGAGAGAGUGGACGGCCACACUGGGACUGAGACACGGCCCAGACUCCUACGGGAGGCAGCAGUGGGGAAUAUUGCACAAUGGGGGAAACCCUGAUGCAGCGACGCCGCGUGAAGGAAGAAGGUCUUCGGAUCGUAAACUUCUAUCAGCAGGGAAGAAGGAAGUGACGGUACCUGACUAAGAAGCCCCGGCUAACUACGUGCCAGCAGCCGCGGUAAUACGUAGGGGGCAAGCGUUAUCCGGAAUCACUGGGUGUAAAGGGUGCGUAGGCGGUAGGGCAAGUCAGAUGUGAAAGCCCGGGGCUCAACUCCGGGAUUGCAUUUGAAACUGUCUUACUAGAGUGCAGGAGAGGGAAGCGGAAUUCCUAGUGUAGCGGUGAAAUGCGUAGAUAUUAGGAAGAACACCAGUGGCGAAGGCGGCUUUCUGGACUGUAACUGACGCUGAGGCACGAAAGCGUGGGGGAGCGAACAGGAUUAGAUACCCUGGUAGUCCACGCCGUAAACGAUGAGUGCUAGGUGUUGGGCCCAUAUGGGCUCAGUGCUGAAGUUAACGCAUUAAGCACUCCACCUGGGGAGUACG
rnacentral:rRNA from 2 species